rnacentral:rRNA from 1 species
AUUGAACGCUGGCGGCAUGCCUUACACAUGCAAGUCGAACGGCAACGCCGUGGCUUGCACCUGGGGGCGAGUGGCGAACGGGUGAGUAAUGCAUCAGAACCCACCCCGUAGUGGGGGAUAACUAUCCGAAAGGAGAGCUUAUACCCCAUAUUCUACGACUAGGAAAGCGGGGGAUCUUCGAGACCUCCCGCUCUGGGAGCGGCCAACGUCAGAUUAUCUAGUUGGUGGGGUAAAGGCCUACCACCGCUACUAUCUGUAGCGGGCCUGAUAGGAUGAUCCCCCGCCCUGGGACUGAUACACUGCCCACACUCCUACUGGAGGCAGCAGUGGGGAAUUUUGGACAAUGGGGGCAACCCUGAUCCUGCCAUGCCGCGUGAGGGAAGAAGGCCUUCUGGUUGUAAAGCUCUUUCUGCCGGGAAGAAAUCGCCAUCUCUAAUAUAGGGGGUGGAUGACCGCACCGGAAUAACAAGCACCGGCUAACUACGUGCCAUCAGCCGCGAUAAUACGUAGGGUGCGAGCGUUAAUCAGAAUUACUGGGCGUACAACCUGCGCAGGCGUUUUUUCAAGAUAGGCAUGAAAUCACCGGGCUUAACCUGGGAACUGCGCUUAUGACUGGAAAACUAGAGUACGGGAGAGGGGGGUGGAAUUCCACGUGUAGCAGUGAAAUGCGUAUAUAUGUGGAGGAACACCGAUGGGCAAGGCAGCCCCCUGGGCCGAUACUGACGGUCAUACACGAAAGGGUGGGGAGCAAACAGGAUUAGAUACCCUGGUAGUCCACGCCCUAAACGAUGUCAACUAGGUGGUGGGGGGGUAAAACCAUUUAGUAACGUAGCUAACGCGUGAAGUUGACCGCCUGGGGAGUACGGCCGCAAGGUUAAAACUCAAAGGAAUUGACGGGGACCCGCACAAGCGGGGGAUGAUGUGGAUUAAUUCGAUGCAACGCGAAAAACCUUACCUACCCUUGACAUGUUCAGAAUCCCGGAGAGAUUUGGGAGUGCCCGAAAGGGAGCUGGAACACAGGUGCAGCAUGGCUGUCCUCAGCUCGUGGCGUGAGAUGUUGGGUUAAGUCCCGCAACGAGCGCCACCCUUGUCGUUAAUCGCCAUCAUUUAGGUGGGCACUUUAACGAGACUGCCGGUGACAAUCCGGAGGAAGGUGGGGAUGACGUCAAGUCCUCAUGGCCCUUAUGGGUAGGGCUUCACACCUCAUACAAUGGUCGGUACAGAGGGUUGCCAAGCCGGGAGGUGGAGCCAUUUCCAGAAACCCGAUUGUAGUCCGGAUGGCAUGUUGCAAUUGGCCUGCAGGAAUUGGGAAUCGUUAGUAAUCGCGGAUCAGCAUGUCGCGGUGAAUACGUUCCCGGGUCU